rnacentral:rRNA from 1 species
AUUGAACGCUGGCGGCAGGCCUAACACAUGCAAGUCGGGGGAGCGGCGGACGGGUGAGUACUGUAUGGGGAUCUGACUGAUGGAGGGGGAUAACUACUGGAAACGGUAGCUAAUAACGCAUACCAUCAGAGGAACCCAUAUGGGAUUCCCUUAUAGGAGAGGUAACGGCUCACCUAGGCCACGAUCCCUAGCUGGUCUAAGAGGAUGCACAGCCACACGGGGACUGAGACACGGCCCAGUCUCCUACGGGAGGCUGCAGUGGGGAAUAGUGCACAAUGGGCGCAAGCCUGAUGCAGCCAUGCCGCGUGUAGGAAGCAGGCCUUCGGGUUGUAAAGUACUUUCAGUCGGGAGGCGUUACCGACAGAAGAAGCACCGGCUAACUCCGUGCCAGCGGCCGCGGUGAUUC